rnacentral:rRNA from 1 species
UACGUAGGCGGGCAAUUAAGUCAGAGGUGAAAUCCCACAGCUCAACUGUGGAACUGCCUUUGAUACUGGUUGUCUUGAGUUAUAGUGAAGUAGAUAGAAUAUGUAGUGUAGCGGUGAAAUGCAUAGAUAUUACAUAGAAUACCGAUUGCGAAGGCAGUCUACUAACUGUAUACUGACGCUAAUGGACGAAAGCGUGGGGAGCGAACAGGAUUAGAUACCCUGGUAGUCC